rnacentral:rRNA from 1 species
CCUACGGGAGACAGCAGUGAGGAAUAUUGGUCAAUGGCCGAGAGGCUGAACCAGCCAAGUCGCGUGAGGGAAGACGGCCCUACGGGUUGUAAACCUCUUUUGUCGGGGAGCAAAGCGAACCACGUGUGGUUCAUUGAGAGUACCCGAAGAAAAAGCAUCGGCUAACUCCGUGCCAGCAGCCGCGGUAAAACGGAGGAUGCAAGCGUUAUCCGGAUUUAUUGGGUUUAAAGGGUGCGAAGGCGGAGGUGCAAGUCAGCGGUCAAAUUGCGGGGCUCAACCCCGUACUGCCGUUGAAACUGCAGCCCUUGAGUGCGCGAGAAGUAGGCGGAAUGGGUGGUGUAGCGGUGAAAUGCAUAGAUAUCACGCAGAACACCGAUUGCGAAGGCAGCAUACCGGCGCGCAACUGACGCUCAUGCACGAAAGCGUGGGUAUCGAACAGGAUUAGAUACCCCAGUAGUC